rnacentral:rRNA from 1 species
AUUGAACGCUGGCGGCAUGCCUUACACAUGCAAGUCGAACGGCAGCACGGGAGCAAUCCUGGUGGCGAGUGGCGAACGGGUGAGUAAAGUAUCGGAACGUGCCCAGUCGUGGGGGAUAACGUAGCGAGAGUUACGCUAAUACCGCAUACGAUCUAUGGAUGAAAGCGGGGGAUCGCAAGACCUCGCGCGACUGGAGCGGCCGAUAUCAGAUUAGGUAGUUGGUGGGGUAAAGGCUCACCAAGCCGACGAUCUGUAGCUGGUCUGAGAGGACGACCAGCCACACUGGGACUGAGACACGGCCCAGACUCCUACGGGAGGCAGCAGUGGGGAAUUUUGGACAAUGGGCGCAAGCCUGAUCCAGCCAUGCCGCGUGCAGGAUGAAGGCCUUCGGGUUGUAAACUGCUUUUGUACGGAACGAAAAGGUUUGGCCUAAUAAGCUGAGCUCAUGACGGUACCGUAAGAAUAAGCACAGGCUAACUACGUGCCAGCAGCCGCAGUAA